GCGCCUGCGCUCACGCUGUGGGGCCCAGCGCAUUGUGAGCCGGGUCGAGCUCCACGCUGGCAGCGUCUGAGAGUUGUCCUGGGCCGGAGGUGGCGCGAACCCUGUGCGGCCUAGAGUGGGCCUGGGGAAGCCAGCUGCCAUGUUCUGAGUACUCUCUGGAAGGGCCUGCAUGGCAAGGAACUAAUGUUUCCAGCCAGCAGCCAGCAAGAACUGCAAGCCUUGUGAAUGAGCUUGGAUGCAGAUCCUCCCCUCACUCAAGCCAUGAUAUGAAAACAGCCUGAGACCCAGAGGAAAUGCUUCUUCUUAUGCCCAUACUCUGGAACUUUCCUACGACAAGGAGCAAUUUGCUGUGUGUUUAUUCUCUUUGGAAUCAUCUCUUCUUCAUGGAAGCAGGGUUAUUUAUCAACCUGUGAUGGACUCUUCCUGGUUUGGUUAGGGCAUGCUGCAUACUGCUCCUGUAAUAAUGCUUUUUUUGGCCAGGACACAAACCACGGUCAAAAAAGGUCUUCCUGAGUUCUGAAGGUCAAGCAAUUAGGAUUUUCUCAGGCUUGUAGAAGAGUGGAAUUCUGGAAACCAGUCUUCGCCUCAGGGGAGCAUCUUUUGGAAGUUCUUAGAAUCAGAAAUCUGAGCGUAGGAAGAAGUGGGUUAGCCCUGGAGAAAGGAAAAGGAGGAUCAUGGUUCUCUGCAAAGAGCUGGAAGCUAAAAAGCAGGCUGUGUUUACUUACCAACCAGGACUCCGUGGGAUCUUUGCCAGCUUCCAAUAUGGCCUUAAAAGUAUAUGAAAUCCAAGAAAUAUUUCUGCAAAGCAAGAGAUCUUCACUGCUUUAUUUUCCACCACCUGAAUCCUUGCAGUGAGUGUAGUGUGUAUCUAAUCAAUCUAUUAAAAAAUACUUUAAAAGUUCUAUAUAUGUAUCAAUAUUUAAUAUUGUUUUUACAUUAUUUAAAUGUUUUUCUAAAUAAUAUUAUAGUAUAUAUAUUCUGAAGCAUUCUAUUCAGUGACAAAGAAUUAUGUUUAGACAUUUACAUUUAUAUAGGAAAACUCAUAACCUGAAUAUGUCCUGUGGGAUCAAACCACUGACCCUUCCAGGGUGGAAGAGACCUAAGGUAGUCAGCUUCCAUCAAGCGGCCAGUUGGUCUCAUUGAGGAAUGGUGUCACAUCAAGGGCUCAGUGUUGGUCUCUGUUGCAGAUAUAUCAGACAUUUGAUAAUGGCAGCAGCUGGAUCAGUCUUGGUAAGGGUUGGAAGCAUAGUUAGUCCUCACUUUGCAUGGUCCCAAUAUGCACAAAUCCUAGUUACCACCAUUUAGUUAAAUCACACCAGAACCCCAACAAUAUGGUUCAAAUUUCAGCUACAACGUUAUUAACUGUGCACAAUUACACAAAGUACAAACCUCACUGUCAGCUCUUUAGUCCACAAAUCACUAUGUAAAUAACAGAUGCAUAGCAUGAUCAAUAACCAAUCACACCUCUCCUUUCAAAGUCCACUAAUGAUUGGCCACUGCACAUAUGUUCAGUUCCUACACAGCAAAGCGUGUAGUUGUGUUGCUGAUUUUCCUGUGAAUGAAGCCACAUGAUGGUUUACAAUAAUGGAUACUCAAAAGAGGAAAUUGGCCAACAAAGAUGAAAGCGCAGAAAAAAGUCCAAAAAGUAGUAAUGCUGGAAAUGAACUCCAAAUUGAAUGAGUUACAGAAAAACAGUUCACUGUGAGAAUGUGGCCACUGCAUCAUUCAAGAGGAUAUGCAGCCAGAGGAACUUAGCAAAGGCAAACUUAACAUAAAUGAGGAAGGAAGUGUGGCAAAAAGCAUGCUGUCUCAGAGGAAGCGGUCCUGGCAGGAACUUCACAUUGAAGCAACUCUGGGAAAUUUUUCAUGACGCUGAAAACACAAAGGAUAAAAUGUUGGGAGCUGAUCCAGUCUUAGAAAGGAGAACAAUUCAUCAGGUCAGAGAAAAGAUGCUCUCUCCAUGUCGUAAGUUACACAAGAAGGAAAAAAGGCUGGGCGUGGUGGAUCACUUCUGUAAUCCUAGCACUUUGGGAGGCUGAGGCAAGUAGAUUACCUGAGUUCAGGAGUUUGAGACCAGACUGGGCAACAGGACAAAACCCUGUCUCUACUAAAAAUAAAAAAAAAAAUUUAAAAAGCCAGGCAUUGUGGCGGGCACCUGCAAUCCCAGCUACUCAGGAGGCUGAGGCAGGAGAAUUACUUGAACCCGGUUGGCAGAGGUUGCAGUGAGCCGAGAUCGCACCACUACACUCCAGCCCGGGCAACAGAGAAAGACUCUGUCUCCAAAAAUAAAAAAGUUACAUUUAAAAUAAAAUAAAUCUUCCAGAAAAAAAGGAAUAAUUUUUCCUUUUCAGUAUCACUGGAAAAGCAGAGUCAUCUAGUAAACCCUGUUACUAACAUGCAGUUAAACUGUACAAAAUUAAACACAUCUCACAUGACUGUCAUGGGUUCCCUCUGCAGAGCUGAAUCACAUCUACAAAAGUAAACUCCCCUAAGAGAAUAAUAGAAACAUGGAAAAUGGGAGGAAGGCCCACCAUUACAGAUGCAGUGGGAAAGGAGCUCAGAGGUUAACCACAGCAUGAAUUCCUAACAUGCUGAAAUAAUAAAAUGAUUUCAGUCCACCAACAAGUUUACUUGGUGUCUUCAGCAUUGCCUCUGAGGCUCCAGAGGUCCUGAGUGGAUGCUGAGGACCACAGGUACUAAAUGACUUCCCCAAGGUCAUGUUGCUCAUUUCUGGCAAAAUUGGGACCAAAACCCAGCCCUCCUGACACAGGAUGGUGCUUGUUUCUCUCUUCAGGUUUCUCUUCAGCGCUGAAUGAUAUGUGUGGUAUACGUAAGGUUAUAAAACAAAGCGAGGUAACAGCUUUGCUUCUUUUUAUAUAUAUAUACUUUUAAGUUCUAGGGUACAUGUGCACAACGUGCAGGUUUGUUACAUAUGUAUACAUGUGCCAUGUUGGUGUGCUGCACCCAUUAAACUCGUCAUUUACAUUAGAUAUAUCUCCUAAUGCUAUCCCUCUGCCCAGCUUUGCUUCUUUUCAUGAUGCUACUCCAGUUUCAAGAUCACUGUAGCAGAUGCCAUCAGUGCACACUGGCUCUGGGCAUGCCUUCCUCCCACCCUGAACCUUCUCUGCCAGAGCCCACAUUACCUAUGAUCAUAAUAGAGCCCUGUGUGCCUGGAGAUUAUCCCUCUCCCCAUCCCCUAAAGCAGCCCUUAAUCAAUGACUGACAGGUAUGAAAUAGAAAUAUUCCAUUCCUGGACCAGGCAC